GACGAACGCUGGCGGCGUGCUUAACACAUGCAAGUCGAACGGAAAGGCCCUGCUUUUGUGGGGUGCUCGAGUGGCGAACGGGUGAGUAACACGUGAGUAACCUGCCCUUGCCUUUGGGAUAACUUCAGGAAACUGGGGCUAAUACCGGAUAGGAGCUCCUGCUGCAUGGUGGGGGUUGGAAAGUUUCGGCGGUUGGGGAUGGGCUCGCGGCUUAUCAGCUUGUUGGUGGGGUAGUGGCUUACCAAGGCUUUGACGGGUAGCCGGCCUGAGAGGGUGACCGGCCACAGUGGGACUGAGAUACGGCCCAGACUCCUACGGGAGGCAGCAGUGGGGAAUAGUGCACAAUGGGCGGAAGCCGGAUGCAGCAACGCCGCGUGCGGGAGGACGGCCUUCGGGUUGUAAACCGCUUUCGCCUGUGACGAAGCGUGAGUGACGGUAAUGGGUAAAGAAGCACCGGCUAACUACGUG
rnacentral:rRNA from 1 species